AGUACUGAGGACCUGAAGGAGGUGAUUAGACUAACAGAAAGGGCAAAGGCAGGAGUGGGGUGUGGCUGCUCUCACCCUCCUCUCUGGAGUGCUGGCCUAUGUUUCCUCUCCGUUCUUCUCCCAUUUGGAUGCUCACACCUGCUUUCUUCUCCAGGAACUAAUCCUUCAGGAAAAAUUCAGAACCUGUGACUCUUGUUCACCAGCACGUGGCUGGAUGUAGUCAUUUGGAGUUUAUGGAAAAUGUGGUCAGUCCCAUAAAUCAGAGCUGAGGAAUUCUUCAAGUCAUCACCGUGUAAGACAUGCAGGAAGCUCAGUCCUAAACUACCAGUUAACAGAGGAAUAACAUGCACUCAGGCAGAAAGUGGCUUCUUCAAACAGAAUUCAUGUUCUCUCAACGUGCAAGAUUAUAGAAACACAAAUUCAGCUAUAACCAAAGAUACCGUGUUAGUCACAAAGUACAGAUUCCUGAAAACAACAUAAUAGAAAAUUCCCUUUCUUCUUCAUCUCCGAGAAUCUCCUUGGCUCCUUCCUGUCUGAACAAGUACGCACGCCACUGCAUGUUCCCCAUUAGAAAAGAAUCAGGAGCAAACAGCUGUUCUUCAAGCAAGUUGCCUCUCGCCCACAUCUUCCCAGAGUUCAGCCCACUGCCUCAGGGGGAAUUUUAUCUUAAAAAAGAAUCUCUCUGCUUUAAACAUGGCAAACCAAAAGUGGAAAUGCAUUGCAAUUCGUGGUGAACCCGAGUGAACUUGGCUGAGAAAAAAUGACUACCAAUGAAGUUUUCAUUCCACUGUUGGAAA